GGCCCCUUAGUUUAUCGGUUAGAACGUCGCCCUUUCACGGCGGAGAGACGGGUUCGAUUCCCGUAGGGGUCA
rnacentral:tRNA from 1 species